GUUUAUUGAUAUUCAUUUUGUUUUUUAUAUUUGAUUUUGUUUUUUUUCCCUUUCUCCUCACAGUUUCAAUGUUCCAAACCCAAGCAUAAAAGUUGGUACAGGAGAGGGGGUAAAAUAAACAAGGACCGACAUUUUUUUAAUCGCUAUAGUAUAGAAAAUCGGUGUUUUUAUGUUAUAACGAUGGAAAAAAUUGGUCGGUUUGUUUUUAGUUCACUCUUUCCAGUUCGCUGGAGAAAACUGAGUGUUAUAUAUAUAUAUAUAUAUAUAUUAAUUAAAUAACAUAUUUUUCUUAAAUAGCGUACCUUUAUUAAAAAUAUAUCGGUUCAAAUACUUUUUUUUAAAAAAUAAAUAGUAUUAAAAGUGAAUGGUCUCAUGACUGAGUACAAAUUUAGGUAGCUAGGUUUGAGACUUGAUUGGAAUUAACUUUGACUUGAUCGAUAUAUAAGAGUAAUUAAUUGUUGUAUAUGUAUAUAUUUGUAGUAGUACAUAUGUAUUUAAGAGCGUGUUUGUUUAGAGUUGAAUGAAGCUGAAUUUGAAUGGCUGAAUCGGUCAGUGCGUUUGUUUUGGUCUGAAUGGCUGAAUCGGUAAGAUGGACGAGCUGAAUGGCUAAGUCAGAUUUUUUUUAACUGAAUGGCUGAAUGAGCAGUUGAAUGAAGUAAAAAAAUAAAUAAAAAUAAAUUAAAAAAAUUUAAAAAAAUAUUAGCUAUUAUAUUAAGUAAUAUUAAAUAAAUUUAGAACAAUUUUAAAUUUUUUCAAAGGGAUAAACUAAUAAAAUUUUAUCAUUUAGAUGUUUCAGACAUAUCAAUUAUCAAACAACUUUUUUUAUUCAGAUUCAGAUUCAUUCAAUUUUUAUUAAACAACCCCUAAGUAAAUUUAGGGAGAUGUAGAGGUGGUCUUGUCCUUGUGAUGAUGUUGGGUGUAAAUAUAAUCCAGGUGUGCCUCCGCAAUUAUCCUUCUCUUUAGACACUCCUCUUCAACCUCUUCGCAAACUUCCUCGAAACCCAUUAGCUGCAUGAAUUUUAGUUAGUUCAUAAACAGAUUAAUUUAAUUAACUAAAACCACCCAAAAUAAAUAAAAUAAUAUAUAUGAGUUGAAAUUAAAUCAAUGAAUGAAAUUCGAUCUGACAUAUGUACGUACGUUAUAGAGAUCAUUUUCUUCUUUUGUUUCUGUGAAUGAACCUGCAUGACUGCUGAUCAUCUGAUUGGCCUUUACCUCCUCAUCACCUAUAAACAUUAUUUUCAAACUUAAAUAAAUCAACACAGAAUUAAUGAAGAAAUAACAAAUCAAAUUAACUAAAAAUGGAAUUGGUCGAUCUACAUAUAUUUAUANNN
rnacentral:lncRNA from 1 species